rnacentral:lncRNA from 1 species
GAAGGAAGAGAACCACAUCGUUCAGAUUCUCAGAUAUUCAGAAAUGAGGUACAAAAACCUGACUCAGUAUCAAGCUCGAUCUCCAAUUCGGCUCUAUCUAGUGUUGGCUCAUCUGAGGGUGACAAUGAAUACUCAACCACAAACUCUUCUCAGAGACGAAGAACAAACGUUCCUGAAGCUGAAUUGUCAUGAUAAUUUAGUUCAAGGUCGGCAUCGGAAUAUAACGUGCACCUGUUCGAUGCUUUGAGAGAUCAGUUUUGUAUUUUACAGCUUUGUUUUACUUAUCUUAUUACUGUAACGUGUAAAUUAUCUGAUACUAUGAUGAACCCCAAUUUGGGUUCUGUUCUGAUCAUCAUAUCUUCACUGUUAUACAUGAAACUGAAUGAUCGCCUCCCCUGAAUUUAUUUUCAUCAUAGCACGG